GACGAACGCUGGCGGCGUGCUUAACACAUGCAAGUCGAACGGAAAGGCCCUGCUUUUGUGGGGUGCUCGAGUGGCGAACGGGUGAGUAACACGUGAGUAACCUGCCCUUGACUUUGGGAUAACUUCAGGAAACUGGGGCUAAUACCGGAUAGGAGCUCCUGCUGCAUGGUGGGGGUUGGAAAGUUUCGGCGGUUGGGGAUGGACUCGCGGCUUAUCAGCUUGUUGGUGGGGUAGUGGCUUACCAAGGCUUUGACGGUUAGCCGGCCUGAGAGGGUGACCGGCCACAUUGGGACUGUGAUACGGCCCAGACUCCUACGGGAGGCAGCAGUGGGGAAUAUUGCACAAUGGGCGGAAGCCUGAUGCAGCAACGCCGCGUGCGGGAUGACGGCCUUCGGGUUGUAAACCGCUUUCGCCUGUGACGAAGCGUGAGUGACGGUAAUGGGUAAAGAAGCACCGGCUAACUACGU
rnacentral:rRNA from 1 species